rnacentral:rRNA from 1 species
UUGAACGCUGGCGGCAUGCUUUACACAUGCAAGUCGGACGGCAGCACAGAGAAGCUUGCUUCUUGGGUGGCGAGUGGCGAACGGGUGAGUAACAUAUCGGAACGUACCGAGUAGUGGGGGAUAACUGAUCGAAAGAUCAGCUAAUACCGCAUACGUCUUGAGAGGGAAAGCAGGGGACCUUCGGACCUUGCGCUAUUCGAGCGGCCGAUAUCUGAUUAGCUAGUUGGUGGGGUAAAGGCCUACCAAGGCGACGAUCAGUAGCGGGUCUGAGAGGAUGAUCCGCCACACUGGGACUGAGACACGGCCCAGACUCCUACGGGAGGCAGCAGUGGGGAAUUUUGGACAAUGGGCGCAAGCCUGAUCCAGCCAUGCCGCGUGUCUGAAGAAGGCCUUCGGGUUGUAAAGGACUUUUGUCAGGGAAGAAAAGGCUGUUGCUAAUAUCAGCGGCUGAUGACGGUACCUGAAGAAUAAGCACCGGCUAACUACGUGCCAGCAGCCGCGGUAAUACGUAGGGUGCGAGCGUUAAUCGGAAUUACUGGGCGUAAAGCGGGCGCAGACGGUUACUUAAGCAGGAUGUGAAAUCCCCGGGCUCAACCCGGGAACUGCGUUCUGAACUGGGUGACUCGAGUGUGUCAGAGGGAGGUAGAAUUCCACGUGUAGCAGUGAAAUGCGUAGAGAUGUGGAGGAAUACCGAUGGCGAAGGCAGCCUCCUGGGAUAACACUGACGUUCAUGCCCGAAAGCGUGGGUAGCAAACAGGAUUAGAUACCCUGGUAGUCCACGCCCUAAACGAUGUCAAUUAGCUGUUGGGCAACUUGAUUGCUUGGUAGCGUAGCUAACGCGUGAAAUUGACCGCCUGGGGAGUACGGUCGCAAGAUUAAAACUCAAAGGAAUUGACGGGGACCCGCACAAGCGGUGGAUGAUGUGGAUUAAUUCGAUGCAACGCGAAGAACCUUACCUGGUCUUGACAUGUACGGAAUCCUCCAGAGACGGAGGAGUGCCUUCGGGAGCCGUAACACAGGUGCUGCAUGGCUGUCGUCAGCUCGUGUCGUGAGAUGUUGGGUUAAGUCCCGCAACGAGCGCAACCCUUGUCAUUAGUUGCCAUCAUUCGGUUGGGCACUCUAAUGAGACUGCCGGUGACAAGCCGGAGGAAGGUGGGGAUGACGUCAAGUCCUCAUGGCCCUUAUGACCAGGGCUUCACACGUCAUACAAUGGUCGGUACAGAGGGUAGCCAAGCCGCGAGGUGGAGCCAAUCUCACAAAACCGAUCGUAGUCCGGAUUGCACUCUGCAACUCGAGUGCAUGAAGUCGGAAUCGCUAGUAAUCGCAGGUCAGCAUACUGCGGUGAAUACGUUCCCGGGUCUUGUACACACCGCCCGUCACACCAUGGGAGUGGGGGAUACCAGAAGUGGGUAGGAUAACCGCAAGGGGUCCGCUUACCACGGUAUGCUUCAUGACUGGGGUGAAGUCGUAA